GACCGGAGUGGCAUUUGACCAGCUGAAGUCAACAGGCAUGCCGAACGGUGGCGGCAAGAGGUGGCUGCUGCUGCUGCCGCUGUCGCGGUGGGUUCUCCUCCUCGGCAGCCUCCAGCUCCCGGCGGUCGGCGGCAGCGGCCAUGUCGUCACGCGCAUGCGCGGGUUCGACGGGCCACUUCCGUUCUACCUCGAAACCGGGUACGUGGAGGUGGACGAGCAGCAAGGUGUGCAGCUCUUCUACUACUUCGUGCGCUCGGAGCGCGACCCCUACGAGGACCCGCUGCUGCUGUGGCUGUCCGGCGGCCCAGGCUGCUCCGGCAUCUCCGGCCUUGCCUACGAGAUAGGACCCUUAAAAUUUGAUGCCCGAGGGCAAGGUGAAUUUCCCACUCUUCUCUACCGACCGGAGACAUGGACCAAGGUGAGCAACAUCAUAUUUGUGGACUCGCCGGUGGGGACUGGGUUCUCGUACGCCAAGUCCGAGGAAGGGCUCGAGACCGGCGACACCAAGCAAGUGAAGCAGCUAGUCAUUUUCCUCAGGAAGUGGCUCCAAGACCAUCCCCGGUUCGUGAUGAAUCCUCUUUAUAUUGCUGGAGAUUCAUACAGUGGUCUCAUCAUUCCUACUCUUGCAUUAGAAAUUGACAGAAGCAUAGAACUCGGUGAAAAGAUAUUUUCCGGUCUCAAGGGGUACAUUGCUGGCAACCCGUUGACUGGCGGACAGUUUGAUACAGACAGCCAAAUUCCAUACUUUCAUGCCAUGGGACUUGUAUCCGAUGAACUUUACAAGAAUGCUAGGGAGAACUGUGGUGGAAAGUAUAGUGCUCCACUGAAUGCUGUAUGUGCAGAGGCUGUCCAAGCUAUCAACAAUUGCACACGGGAUAUCAAUAAGCAAUACAUCUUGGAUCCUGCUUGCCCGGAUGAUGAUCUGUUGAGCCCCAAGACUGUAGCAGAGACAGAUGGAACGAGCAGGUUGAUGCUAGAGUCUGCAGAUUUUCUACUUGGUUCCAAAUGUGCAGAAGCUUUAUACAUUCUAUCCUACGCUUGGGGGAAUGAUGAUACAGUUCAGGAGAGCCUCGGUAUCCGCAAGGGGACAAUUGGAGCAUGGAAACGAUACAGCCAUGCAUUGCCUUACAAUUAUGAUAUCCAGAGUGUAGUGGAUUACCAUUCAAGGCUAGCCACAAAAGGAUACAGGGCGCUGAUAUACAGAGCGGCGACCACGAUGCUGUUGUACCCCAUGUUGGCACACAAGCAUGGAUUAGAUACCUCAACUUGACAAUCGUUGAUGAUUGGCGACCAUGGUACGUUGGAGGCCAAGUUGCUGGAUUCACAAGGAGUUAUGCGAGCGGCCUAACAUUUGCCACCGUGAAGGGUGCUGGACAUGUUGCGCCGUUGUAUAAGACCUUGGAAUGCCAAAAAAUGUUUAUAACAUGGAUUUCAGGGAAUCCUCUUUGAUGCAAGUCUGAUAGAAUGACCCAUCGGUUAUCUGAGUGGGCGUCAGCCGUCAGGAAUCCUCUUUGAAGGGUCAGUUGCUUGGGUUUCUUUGGUGUCAACUGGUUCAAAUCCUUGAUCGAUAUGGUUGAUCGUAAUAUUUUUGGAACUUAUUUCAAGAUUUAUUAACGGUAUUGUUCUCUUAAGACCUGCCUGUUGAUUCUGUUCAUAUAGGUGAACGUGCAUAUGUUGUUGCUAUAUGCAUACAUGGGGACAUGGGGUGUAGGGGUGCUUGUGCGUUCGUACAAAAAAUAAAGUGCCAAUUUGGAUUA